rnacentral:rRNA from 1 species
GACGAACCGUGCGAACGUUAUUCGGAAUCACUGGGCUUAAAGCGCGUGUAGGCGGGGCGGUGCGUCGGUCGCUGAAAGCCCCCCGGCUCAACCGGGGGAAGCGGCGCCGAUACGGCCGCCCUGGAGGGGGGGUAGGGGGGACCUGGAACUUCCGGUGGAGCGGUGAAAUCGUUGAGAUCGGAAGGAACGCCCGUGGCGAAAAGCGAGGUCCUGGACCCCUUUUCUGACGCUGAGACGCGAAAAGCCCGGGGGAGCGAAACGGGG